AGCCCCGUGGUGUAGCGGUCAAGCAUCCAGGCCUUUGGAGCCUGGGACGGCGGUUCGAAUCCGCCCGGGGCUA
rnacentral:tRNA from 1 species